UACGUAGGGUGCGAGCGUUGUCCGGAAUUAUUGGGCGUAAAGGGCUCGUAGGCGGUUUGUCGCGUCGGGAGUGAAAACACUGGGCUUAACUCAGUGCUUGCUUCCGAUACGGGCAGACUAGAGGUAUUCAGGGGAGAACGGAAUUCCUGGUGUAGCGGUGAAAUGCGCAGAUAUCAGGAGGAACACCGGUGGCGAAGGCGGUUCUCUGGGAAUGUCCUGACGCUGAGGAGCGAAAGCCAGGGGAGCAAACGGG
rnacentral:rRNA from 1 species